CCUACGGGAGGCAGCAGUGGGGAAUAUUGGACAAUGGGCGCAAGCCUGAUCCAGCCAUGCCGCGUGAGUGAUGAAGGCCUUAGGGUUGUAAAGCUCUUUUACCAGGGAAGAUAAUGACUGUACCUGGAGAAUAAGCCCCGGCUAACUUCGUGCCAGCAGCCGCGGUAAUACGAAGGGGGCUAGCGUUGCUCGGAAUCACUGGGCGUAAAGCGCACGUAGGCGGGUUGUUAAGUCAGGGGUGAAAUCCUGGAGCUCAACUCCAGAACUGCCUUUGAUACUGGCAAUCUUCGAGUCCGGGAGAGGUGGGUGGAACUGCGAGUGUAGAGGUGAAAUUCGUAGAUAUUCGCAAGAACACCAGUGGCGAAGGCGGCUCACUGGCCCGGUACUGACGCUGAGGUGCGAAAGCGUGGGGAGCAAACAGGAUUAGAUACCCUGGUAGUCCACGACCGUAACGAUAGAGUACUAGCGUGUCGGUACGCGUUGUCGUCUCGUCGUAGGUCGGCGCGACGUACGUACCGACGUAAGUUAACGUACCGUUCCCGUCCGGUACGGGUACGGGUACGGUCGACGAAGUAACGUUAAACGUAACGAAAGUAAGUAGUACGCGUAGACGACGCGACCGACGACGACGACGGAGGGAGGAGG
rnacentral:rRNA from 1 species